rnacentral:misc_RNA from 1 species
AACGCACCUUGCGCUCCCUGGUAUUCCGGGGAGCAUGCCUGUUUGAGUGUCGUGAAGUUAUCAUGGUCAUGAUCUUUAAUUAAUCAUGGCUUGGAUUUGGAGGUUUAUGUUGGCUUUCUUAAGUUGACUCCUCUUAAAUGUAUUAGCUCGGUGUCUUAAUACUUAGAGCGGUUCACGGUGUGAUAAUUAUCUACACUUCAACUAAUCUAAGUUAAGCCGGCUUCUAAUAGAUCCUUGGCGAUCACUUUGUGAAUUUGACCUCAAAUCAGGUAGGACUACCCGCUGAACUUAA